UACGGGGGGGGCAAGCGUUGUUCGGAAUUACUGGGCGUAAAGGGCUCGUAGGCGGCCAACUAAGUCGGAUGUGAAAUCCCCGGGCUCAACCCGGGAACUGCGUCCGAUACUGGAAGGCUUGAAUCCGGGAGAGGGAUGCGGAAUUCCAGGUGUAGCGGUGAAAUGCGUAGAUAUCUGGAGGAACACCGGUGGCGAAGGCGGCAUCCUGGACCGGUAUUGACGCUGAGGCGCGAAAGCCAGGGGAGCAAACGGG
rnacentral:rRNA from 1 species